CAGCGGAGCAUGUGGUUUAAUUCGAAGCAACGCGAAGAACCUUACCAGGGCUUGACAUGUCGCUGACCGGUUUAGAGAUAGACCUUUAUCCUUCGGGGUACAGCGGACACAGGUGGUGCAUGGUUGUCGUCAGCUCGUGUCGUGAGAUGUUGGGUUAAGUCCCGCAACGAGCGCAACCCUUGUCUUUAGUUGCCAUCAUUAAGUUGGGCACUCUAAAGAGACUGCCGAUGACAAAUCGGAGGAAGGUGGGGAUGACGUCAAAUCAUCAUGCCCUUUAUGUCCUGGGCUACACACGUGCUACAAUGGUCGGUACAACGAGAAGCAAGUCAGCGAUGGCAAGCAAAUCUCUAAAAGCCGAUCCCAGUUCGGAUUGCAGGCUGCAACUCGCCUGCAUGAAGUCGGAGUUGCUAGUAAUCGCGGAUCAGAAUGCCGCGGUGAAUGCGUUCCCGGGUCUU
rnacentral:rRNA from 2 species